AUGCUGCAACUUUCAGGGGAUGGGUCUGUAGGGAAUUGGUCUGAACGGAAGGAGCGCUUCAGCAAGGAGCAAGAGGACGCCCUUCAGCUCCUCUGCUCCCUCCAGGAACCGUGGUUUACCCAUUUUGAUGACCUUCAGCAUCUCCCUGCAGGGCUGGGCAACCUUACCAACCUCAAGAUAUUAUCAAUCAUUGUAUGUCCAGCCGUCUCGUCAUUGCCCAACGAUGGCCUCCCCAAGUCACUGCAAGAGCUAAAUGUCAGAUCCUGCCGAAAUGAAAAGCUAAAACAGCAGUGCAGAGGGUUAGUGGGAACCAUCCCCAAAAUCAUAAUAGACUACUAA
rnacentral:rRNA from 1 species